GGUGUGGUGGCAGAAUGGUUAAUGCGCGAGACUAACAAUCUCUUUACGUCUGUUCGAUUCAGGCCCACGCCG